AGCAGCCGCGGUAAUUCCAGCUCCAAUAGCGUAUAUUAAAGUUGUUGCAGUUAAAAAGCUCGUAGUUGAAUUUCGGGAUUAGUACGUUGGUCGUGCCUUAGGUACGUACUGGUGUUACUGGUUCCUACCUUCUGACGAACCAUCAUGUCAUUAAUUUGGUGUGGUGGGAAAUCAGGACUGUUACUUUGAAAAAAUUAGAGUGUUUAAAGCAGGCUCGCGCUUGAAUACAUUAGCAUGGAAUAAUGAAAUAGGACGUUGACCCUAUUUUGUUGGUUUCUAGGAUUGACGUAAUGAUUAAUAGGGAUAGUUGGGGGCAUUAGUAUUCAAUUGUCAGAGGUGAAAUUCUUGGAUUUAUUGAAGACUAACUACUGCGAAAGCAUUUGCCAAGGAUGUUUUCAUUAAUCAAGAACGAAAGUUAGGGGAUCGAAGACGAUCAGAUACCGUCGUAGUCUUAACCAUAAACUAUGCCGACUAGGGAUCGGAUGAUGUUAAUUUUUUAAUGACUCAUUCGGCGCCUUACG
rnacentral:rRNA from 1 species